UGUGUGUAUCUAUACACACACACACAUCGAUACACUCAGUGACACUGAUGUGUGUGUGCAUAUGCGUGACUGAAUGAAGGUGUAUAUGUUUGUGGGGAUUUUUGUGCCCAUCCUAAAAAAAGGGUUGACAUGUGUGCAACCCUGCCUAGCAGUAACUAAUGGCGCGUUAGGGUUAGGGUAACCCUAACCCUGCUCAUGACCUAGUAGUAACUAAUGGCGCUUAUCCACCGGCGGGUGCGCUUCGGCCCAGCAUGCCUCAGCCCAGUAGUGAGGGCGUGGUAGCCCAGCUCCGUGACGGCUCUCGUUCCCACCGCCGACACCGUGGCGGCUACGUUAGCAUUGUGACCUCAUAGCAGACACAGUGUAGCCUGAUAAUAAAUCAGGAAAAAUAAGAAUGCGACAUAAUGAACAAAGAGCAACAAUGUAGGACGUCCAAGAAGGACUUAUGCGUGACAUUUUCUUCAAUAAACAAAGCUUUCACUUCCGUGCGGAAGUGACGAUUCUGCCAAUCAACGGAUGGCGUGUGUAGCUCGAACUUGCCGGCACCCUUUCAGGCGUCUCAGUACCCACACGGAGGAGUACUGGAGACGAGUACGGCUCAAUACGGCUCAGUCCGGACACGCACACUUUUGGCGGUGGAAACGCUAACCACGCCGCACCUCUGCAGACUAAACCGACCCGCACCCUCCGGUGGAAAGGCGCCAUUGGAGCCGGGACUAUCGAUGUUUAGUUCCUGUUAAUGGUUGAGUGAGUCCCGCCUAUAUUUAGAAAGCCUGGGACUCUAUUUGUGGGUCCUGCCCUGCUCAGCGUGCCGUAGCUGGUAUCGGAUCGAUGUGCACCUCGGCCCUCUGACCCGGCUCAAGGGCAGCUUGAGAGGUGCUCCGUGUUGGAGGGGAAGAGAGGAGGAUUAAUGGGUUAGGGUUAGGGUUAGGGUAACCCUAACUCCGUGUUGGAGGGGAAGAGAGGAUGAUUAAUGGGUUAGGGUUAGGGUAACCCUAACUCCGUGUUGGAGGGGAAGAGAGGAUGAUUAAUACAAAGCUGCAAGCUUGUCGCUUUUCGGCGACAAUCGCCGUUUUCUUGGUCAAUUCGGUCAUUCACGUGAAUCGUGUAGAACCGGUCCAGAGGGGUGUUCCACGAACUGAGGUUUAACAAACACUGAGUUAACGAUGAACUCUAGGUUGAUUGACCCUGUGCCGACCAACCCAGAGUUUUCGGUUCCACAGCAGCGGUUAUGCAUUAGUUCAAUCAACUCGGGGUUGGUUAACACAGGGUUGUGCGCGUCCACGCCAAACUUAAAAAGACGUGAUGUAUGGAUCAUGGAAACCCUGAUCGAUAUGGCGAAACGGGCCGCUUAUUUCAAUGAAAUGGAACUCCAGGUUCUCCUGGAGAGCUAUGACGAGGAGAAGGACAUUAUCACAAGAAAAGGGAACGCUAAAACCUCUGGAACCCGGAGAACCAAAGCCUGGCAGCGGAUCGCUGACCGCGUAAAUGCGUUAGUUACACGUCAAAAGCAUGAUCCUUAAUAUUUGAGCCAUGAAUAUAUAAAUAUCCCAGUUAAGCAUUCUUAAAGAUCCUACCACAUAACCCCUUUCUUCUAAAACAAUAUGUACUCCGAUUGCUUCCAAGCGGUCAGAGGAUCAAGUAUAAAAAUGAAGUAUAAAAAACAUACAAACUGGUAA